UUAAAACAUGCCCCAACUUUAUUAAAAGAGGAAGAAGAGCUCCUAUCCCCUCCUCAGAGCUCUACUGUAGCCAGAGAACAGGCCCUGGAAAGCGGUGUGGUGGGAGGCUGGUGCUCAAAGCCUGCGUGUCCUGAAAGAGGGAAAAAAGAUAAAAGGGCCCCUAUAGGGUUCCAUCUCUUAAAAGAGUUGGGCUUUCAAAAAUGGGGGGGGGGGGCUUUUGUUCUCAUAAAGCAGAGUAUGAGUCACUAUAUAUAUAAGCAUGUAUAGUGACUUAGACUCUGCUUUAUGAGUCCCCUAAAGCCGCAGUUCAGAGGGUUAAGGCCUACUGUUUCAGUCAGAUUGGCUUAAGGCCUACCACUAUUUUGCUGAUAACCAUCUUGAAGGAAACUGAAUCAAGCAGGAGAACUGGUGAGGAGUGUGACUUUAUCUUAGUUGAAGGUGUACGUUUUUUGGUGCUCAACAUCAAGAAGGUUCUACCUUGUGGUUUGAGCUUACAUGCUUAUAUUAUCUGGGUACGGAAUUCUUUGCAAAAGAAAGAUAUCCAUUGCUAGCUAGACUGAGUCGGAGUGGAUCUUGCCCCACAAAAGGCAAGGGAGAAGGAAGCAGAGUCCAUGGGGCUGAGGAUUCACACAGGGACAUGGAAACAUCCCAGCCUUAUUUCCAUGGCUGCAGUGGAGUCAUUUAUGAACUUAUGAGAGAAUGCAAGGCGGUGGCAACGGGUGGUGAAAGAAAACUCAAGCUAAGGUGAAUGCUUAUGAGGAAGCACAAGCUGGUGGCAAGAUGGUACCAGCUAAAACAAUUUGAUAAUCAGGUUUCUCUCCUUUUUGUGAGGAUUGCUUCUUUGAGGCAAUUGAAAAGCCCUUUUAUAUCUCAGAAAUGAGCUGAAAUGUCCUGAGGCAUGGUAUGUACUCUGAAAAUGCUCGCAUUUCAUUUGAUUGCUGCUGUUAAUAUUUCAAAGAUGAAGUAAGUUUCCCCCCCUGGGGGCAUUGAGCAUUUGUGUAAACUGCUUUAAAGAAUGAGUGGAUUUGAGUACCAUCUUCACAACGGGGGUGGUGGGGUGGGGGAGAACAUCAGUAUAUCCACCAGACUUUGGGAAAUGACAAGUCAAAGGAGAAAAUCUGUUGGAGUGUAAAUUCAUACUAAUAUUCAGAACAGGCAGCUUGUGUUUUAUUAGGGCACAAUCCAGCCACAGUUAACAACUUCUACAUCUCAUUGAUUUAAAUGAAUGAGAACUAACUUUAAUGAAAUCAGUGGGGUGUAUAGCUUUGGCUGGAGUGGGCCUUGGUUGUUUGAAGGGGCAAGAGUGAUGGAAGAUUUGCAACACUCACUGUCAUUUUGGGUGGCCUUAAUCAGGCAUAAGAACUUAGGCCACUGCUGCUGAAAGCUUAGGCUAGGCAUCUUGCAGGGUGUACAAUUAUUUAUUUAUUUAUGACAUUUAUAAACUGCCCCAUCCAGAGGUUCUGGGUGGUGCACAACUGGUUUAAAAAACAUAAAAACCAACAUUUAAAACACACUACUUAAAACAAUUUUAACACAAUUUAAAACCAAUUAAAAAUACUUAAAAAUAAUUGGAAGGCCAGGCCAAACAAGUCUUUAGGGCUCUCUUAAUGGCAAACAGUGAGCCUAAACUGCAGUUAUCUGCCAGGAGUGCAUUCUACAGAAAAGGCCCGGUUCUGAGUCGCCACCAGACAUACUGGUGGUAACUGGAGACGGACCUCUCCAGAUGACCUCAACGUGAGAUGGGGAUCAUACAGAAGGCUCAUACAGCCUUCUUCUGAUAACAGCAGUCCUUGGGGUCAUUCACACAAUUGAAAACUGUGUUCUACCCAGGUUUGGGAGCUGUGUGUACUCCCAAUUUUUGAUUGUGUGGAAGCAAGGUUAGAGGAAAACCUGGGUAGAAGUGAUUGUGUGGAAGCAAGGUAGGAGAAAAAGCUACCCAGGCUUUCCUCUAAAUGUUUCCUCUAAAUUGCCCUCCUGUAGAUGUUAGAUUACAACUCUCAUAAUGGCUAUUGGCCACUGUAGCUCAGGAUGAUGGGAGUUGUAGUCCAGCAACAGCUGGAGGGCUAAAGUCGUGCAGCCGAACUAAUCCAAUAUUUGCCACCAAGCCAGAAUCCUCCUCACACCUAAUCAGGGUGACUACAGAGUAUUUUGCAGUCCUGGGGUGCAGGAGGGAACAAUGCACCUUUUAUUAUGGUUUCCUUUUUUUUAAGGUUUCCCUCAAAUGCAGCUGCAGAUCCUUGUUCCAUAGAACUGAAUGGAGCUGAACAGAAGAGUCUGCAGCUGAAAACAUUGAGGCUCUUCUCACGAUCGGUGAGAAGAGCCUCUAGGGGGGUUGCGAGGAGAGUGGGUUAAGCCCACUCUACUUGCAGAUGAGCAGACAGUCUGCUUUGGGCGGCUGCAGCAGCCACCCACACAACUGCCGGCUCUGUGAUGGAGCUGGCAGGGGCUGGGAGGAUCGGGGGCCACGCGGUCCCCAGAAGCUCCAGUAUGCCCUGCGCGAGCGUGCAGGGCAUACUGGAGAGACCCCUGAGCCAGGAGGCUGCUUUUAAGCCUCCUAGCUGGGGGUCUACUUGUGAGUAGCCGUGGCGCGAAGCUGCGCCACUGCUACUCACGAUUUUGAAAACUGGGCUUGAAGAGCACUUGCUCCGCAAACCCGGUUUAAGGGGAGGGGUAGUUAUGUGGGUUAACCUUCUGGAAGCCACUGAGCUUGCCUGCGAGCCCGGUGGCUCACACGGUCAGGUGAAAUCGGGUUAGGCUCUCCUAGCCCAAUUUCGCCUGAUCGUCAGAAUAGCCUCAAUGUCUGUUCAGGAGACACUGUAGGGGGAGAAUGGCAGUUCAGUCCCCACAUAGUAGAGCAAAACCAGUUUGGUGAGAAAGCAGCAAAGCAAGAGUUCUUGAGACAGUUCUUUAGUAUUGAAGAACUACAAGGAUUUAUGUAAAGAAAAGUUUGCAAACAAAUGUAAACAAAUGUAAAUGUGUUUGUGCCCUUAACCUCAGCUAAGAGCUGGGCUUGGCUCUAUGGAACCACCAGAAUCUGCAUUGAUCCCGGUGGUUCUCAUGGGCAGCCAAGACCAGGUUUGGCUAUCUAAGCCUGGGCUUGGCUGCUUGUGAGAACAGCCUCAUAGUUGCAGCCAGAGGCAGCCAGAAAGGUGACUGGAAGACGGCUGAGGGGUAAAGAGCUCUUCUCUGGCUCCUACACUCCACUCUCCUCUGGGUGGGAGAAGGGUCUGGCCAAGGCUUUUUCUGUGCUCUUGUUCUCCUCUUUGCAGCCUGUUGGUUAUCGGGUGCUGAACUCGCUCUAAUUGUGUAGAUAUAUAUUCUGCACCUGGCCAGAAUGCCUGAUUGGUGUGGGUGUGAGACACACCCAUUGGGCUUCUGAGAUCUUGGCCUUUAUUAGAGUGGGCUGCAGCCAGAGGCGAAGGGGCCGGCCUCUGGAGGUGGCCUUCAGGGGUGGGACUGAGGGCUGGGGCCGACUUAUUAACUAGAACAGCUGGAAGGAAGACUCUUGCUCACUUCAUUGUUACCUAGUAUUUAGUUAGGCCUGGUACAGGUAUGUGUUUUGGGCUGAACAGAGAUGGGGAGGUGGGGAAUGACCCUGGGGCAGCUGUAUCAGUGGUGGCAAGGAAUCGACGGAUAUAUGGCGUUAGUAGGCCAGUGGGCUGUUAUAGGGGAAGGGAAUUCAGAAAUCUAAUUGCUGUUUUGCCUUCCAGCAGGCCUACCACCUCUUUGGUUCUGGAGAGCAAUGCCACCCACCCACAGAACCUCACCUUAUUACUCUGUAAUUCCAGGUUGGUUCAAAACAAAUCUGAGGUAGUCCAUGACUUGAUUAUGGAUGAAGGAGCUGACCUGCUAUGUAUUAUGGAGACCUGGUUGGGAGAGGCUAGUGGUCUAGUUUGGUCCCAGCUUCUCCCAGAGGGUUACUCCGUGGUAGGGCAGGUGAGAGGAUGUGGUCGGGGAGGUAGGGUGGCUGUGGUCUAUAAGAAUACUAUCUUCCUUACCAGGAUCCCUGUCAGGGAUUUGGCUAUACUGAAUGUGUGUAACUAAGCCUAGGGACCAGGGAUAGAUUGGGGAUUCUGCUGGUGUACCGAUCACCCCACUGCCCAGUGGAGUCCCUAACUGAGCUGAGGGACCUGGUUGCAGAGCUGGCACUGGAGUUGCCCAGGGUUGUUGUUGGUGGGGACUUUAAUGUUCAUUUUGGAACCAGGUUGUUGAGGGCGCUCAAGAGUUCAUAGCAACCAUGAUGACUGUGGGCCUAUCCCAAUUGGUCUCUGAUCCGACACCUGAUGCUGGUCACACACUCCAUUUGGUCUUUUGCUCCGACCAGGGAGGUGUUCAGUGGGUGGAGACUUCUGUCAUCUCCCCAUUGUCAUAGACGGAUCACCAUCUGGUUAAGGUAGAACUUACAGCCAUGACCCACCUCUGCAGGGGUGAAGGACCUAUUAGAUUGGUUUGCCCAAGGAGGUUAUUGGAUCCAAUAGGUUUCCAAGAAGCCUUGGAGGGGUUUAGGGUUGGCUCUGCUCACGAUUCUGUUGAUGCUCUGGUACAAAAUGAACUUACUAGAGCAGUAGAGACAAAAGCUCCUAAGUGUCCUCCCCGACUUGCUUUAAAGACAGCCCUGUGGUAUUUGGAUGAGUUAUGGGAGCUGAAGCAGCGAGGCAGACGAUUAGAGCACAAGUGGAGGAAGACUCGGUGCGAACCUGAUUGGACACAACACAGAGCACAUUUGAAGACCUAUGCUCUGGCAGUACAGGCUGCAAAGAAGCAGUUCUUUUCUGCCCGUAUUGCUUCCGCAAAUUCAUGUCCAGCUGAGUUGUCUACAGUUGUGAGGGGGUUGGUACUGUAUGUACCCUCUCCCCCUUGAAUUUAGACUUGGAACCAUCAGUCACUCACUGUGACAUCUUUAACCACUUUUUUGCGGAUAAAAACUCUCAGAUUUGGGCCAAGCUGGAUUCCACAGUUACUUCAGAGUCAACUGUGGAGGUGUCCAGCAACUCCUCUUAUGGGAUUAGAUUGGAUCACUUUCAGUUUGUGACUCCUGCAGAAGUGGACAAACUGCUUCGGACUGUGCUCCCUACAACCUGUUCUCUCAACCCUUGUCCAGCUUGGCUUAUCAAAUCGGAUAAUCAUAUUAUCAGGGAGUGUCUGGUUAAUAUUAUUAAUGCUUCUCUGAAGGAGGGCAGGAUGCCUCCUUGUCUUAAGGAGGCUACUAUUAGACCACUCCUGAAGGAAGCAACGCUGGAUCCCUCCGAGUUAGCUUUCGAUACCAUCGACCAUAAUGUCCUUCUGGACCGCCUGGGGGAGGUGGGAUUGGGUGGCACUGUCUUACAGUGGUUCCGCUCCUACCUCUCUGGCAGAUUCCAGAUGGUGUCGCUUGGAGAGUGUUAUUCUGCUAAGCGGGAACUGAAGUGUGGUGUCUCACGGCUCCAUACUGUCUCCAAUGCUUUUAAACAUCUACAUGAAACUGCUGGGAGAAAUCAUCAGGAGGUUUGGUGCUGAGUGUUACCAAUAUGCUGAUGACACCCAGAUUUACUUUUCCAUUCUGACCUCAUCAGGGAAUGGCAUAUCUACCCUAAAUGCCUGCCUGGAGGCAGUAAUGGGCUGGAUGAGGGAUAAUAAACUGAAGUUGAAUCAAAAUAAGACAGAGGUACUGCCUGUGGGGGUGGGGGCAGGACCCGAGAGAUGGUUUAGUUCUGCCUAUUCUGGAUGUAGUUACACUCCAGCUGAAAGAUCAGGUACAUAGCUUGCGAGUGCUCCUGGACCCAAAGCUCUCCCUGGUUUCUCAGGUGGAGGCGGUGGCCAGGAGCACUUUUUAUCAGCUUCGGUUGAUAUGUCAGCUACGCCCAUUUCUAGAGGUGAAUGUCCUUAAAAUUGUGGUACAUAUGCUGGUAACCUCCAGGCUUGACUGCUGUAAUUCAUUCUAUGUGGGGCUGCCUUUGUAUGUAGUCUGGAAACUACAAUUGGUACAGAAUGCAGCAGCCAGAUUGGUCUCUAGGACAACAUGAAGGGACCACAUAACAUCAGUUCUAAAAGAACUGCACUGGCUGCCAGUAUGUUUCUGGGUGAAAUACAAAGUGCUGGUUAUUACCUAUAAAGCCCUUAAUGGCCUGGGUCCAGGCUAUUUGAGAGAGUGUCUCUUUUGUCAUAAUCCCUGCUGUCUGCUACGAUCUUCUGGAGAGGUCUGGUUACAGUUGCCACCGGCUCGUUUGGUGGCAACCCAGGACCAGACUUCUGUGGCUGCCCCAGGUCUCUGGAAUAAGCUUCCUGCUGGAAUAAGUUUCCUGCCUGAAAUAAGAGCAUCUCCUUCUCUGUUUUCAGGAAGAACCUCGAGACCCUCCUGUUCUCUCAUGCUUUUAAUUAGAAUUAAUUUUUAAUAAUUUUUAAAAACUUGUUUUAAUAAUUUUGUUUUUAUUGUCAUGUAUUUUAAUUUGUGACUUUUAAAUAUUUCAAAUUUUGUACACCGCCUAGAGAUAUACAUAUAGGCAGUAUAAAAAUAUGAUAAAUAAAUAAAUAU